CAGUAGCCGCGGGAAUACGUAGGUGGCAAGCGUUGUCCGGAAUUAUUGGGCGUAAAGGGCUCGCAGGCGGUUUCUUAAGUCUGAUGUGAAAGCCCCCGGCUCUACCGGGGAGGGUCAUUGGAAACUGGGAAACUUGAGUGCAGAAGAGGAGAGUGGAAUUCCACGUGUAGCGGUGAAAUGCGUAGAGAUGUGGAGGAGCACCAGUGGCGAAGGCGACUCUCUGGUCUGUAACUGACGCUGAGGAGCGAAAGCGUGGGGAGCGAACAGGAUUAGAGACCCGCGUAGUCCCUGUCUCUUAUAC
rnacentral:rRNA from 1 species